rnacentral:lncRNA from 1 species
CCUGUUGAUUAAUUAAUCUUCUAUUGGCAGACUGCUGUCAAAUCCCUUGGAGGGCAGUCUGGUCUUAAUAUUGCAGGUGUUCCUAUGAAGAAAAGGAGGUUCAUUUGGCCUCCUUCACCUACCUUUGAAGAACAAUCUUCACUACCUGUAGAAAAUGAUUCUUUAAAGAAAGAACACGUUAGCCCAUCUCGGGAUUCUGAACUUGUAAAUGCUAGUGUCUCAGCAAGUUCUUCUGUCUUAUCUGAUUCAAACAAGAAAUUUGCCCCUGAAGAAAAUAAGAAACCUUGUGACAGUAAUUUGUCAAAAAAUAGUAUUAACAACUCAAGAGACAGAAUUGAAGAACCAAGCACGGAUCAGUCUGAUUCUUUGGCUAAGCUUGAUGAUGAUGAUGAGAAGCUUGGGACAGCAGAAAAAUCGGCUAACAUCCUGGUAAAAUCAGCAAAAACUUAGUUAACUUUAACAUGCAGUAACUCUGCCAACAUUUUGGUAAAAUGAACAACUAAGUUGUAUCUUCUUCCCUCUGUGUGUAUAACAAUUUCUUUGUUUUACUUAAUGUUCUUAAAGUGAUAAUUUUUCUUCGGUUACCUAAUGUAAUUGUGGUUUGUGGGUUUGAAAAUCGAGUUGUUUCUGGUGAUGGCUUUUGAAACUUAUUCUGUGUUUGGAUAUUUGCUACUCUUCAGAACUGUUUGUUUGCUAUGAUUGCUUCCUUGAAUAUUAAUUUAUUAAUCCUCUAUUGGCAGACUGGAAUUAAACCUCUUGGUGGAGUUCCUAUGAAGAAAAGGAGGUUCAUUUGUCCUCCUUCACCUGCACCUGAAGUUCAAUCUUUAGCUGUUUUGGAAUAUGAUUCUGUACUGAAAGAGCAUGGUAGAUUGCCUCAAGUGCCAGCUCUUUCAAGUGAUAGUGUUGCAGGAAGUUCUUGCUUAUCUGAUGAAAACAAGAAUUUUUUUCCUGAGGCUAAUAACAUGGUUCCUGUAAGUAUUGUACAGGCCAAUACUAUAAAUCUCUCAAGAGUUAAAAUUGAAGAACUACAUACAAUUCAGUCAGAAUCUCUGGCCAAGCUUGACAAUGCGGGGAAGCUUGUGGCAGCAGAAAAAUCUGCGACUGUCCUGGUAAAAUAUGAACAAACUGAGUUGAAUUCAUCACCAAAUAAAGCCCCUGCACUUUAUUUUGAUAAAGAAAUAGUUGAGCAGCAAAUAGCAGAAGGAAAGUGCAAAGCUAAAUAUACUGUUUCCGGGAAUCCUGAAUUGGCAUUAGGUUUGAAGGAUCAUCAUGUGUGUGCUUUGGAGGACCAAAUUCAUGAUGCUAAGAGUUGUAAUCACCACAAUGUAGAAACUGUUUCGUUGAAUUUGUCUUUAAGCAACGGUGAAAGGACUGCCCAUUGCAAAAUAGAUGAUGUGCAGUCAAAUAUUGACAGUGCUAAUAUCUGUGCUAACAGAUCUAAUUGGGAUUUGAACACUACAAUGGAUACUUGGGAAGGUUCUGUGGGUGAUGUAGCUGUAGGUCAAGUGACAGCUGAUGGGUCACGCAUGGUUGGUGUCACACAUCAUAUAGAGCCCUUGACAACAGGAACGGUUGGAACAGGGGUUGCUACUGAAAUUCAAAUUGUUGAGAGUGAGUGCAUGUCUAGUUCUUCUAAAAUAUCUUCACAAUCAGGCCAACUAUAUAAUUCUGAUGAUUCUCUUCAUUUGCGCCUUAGUCCAUCAUUUCUUUCUUUUAAGAAUCAGGAACCUUCUAUAUCGUCUGCUAACAUAGACUCCCAGGCUGGUAUUAGUAUUAGCUCCCCAAGAGGAUUGUUGUCAGCAGGCAACACAGUUAUUUCUAAAACCAUAAAAUCUGAACCAUUGGAUGAUAACCUCAAAAAUGACUCUGGCAGAACUAAAGUGAAUCUGGCAGUACCAUUAGAUUUUAGAGCAGUGUUAGUGAAGAGCGAAUUAGUUGAGAAGUUUGCUCAAGAAGCGCACAAGGCAUUAAAUUUUAGCACUGUGAAACCAGUUGAUGCUAAAUCUAUGAAAUCUGAACCAUUUUAUGAUGUUGAUUUAGAAACACGAAAGACAAUGGAAGGGACAUCACACCAAGAGUGUGAAAGUGCUGGACAGCUUGCUCCAGAAAUAGGUUCUGAGCAUGUGAGUCAUAGUGGUGAUGCAAUUAAUGGUUCCGCUACAGUGGAUGUUGCAGGUCCUGAGAAGAAAAAUAUAAAUGACUUUGACCAAUGCAAAUUAAAAGCCAUGGAUGAACUUCCCUCUGAUGCACACCGGAAUGGUGAGGGUACUGCAAGUGAUGAGGAAAAGAUUAAUUUGUCAGGUGAUAUGCUAGAAGAAGACUCUUAUGGCACUGAAUACGAGUCUGAUGGCAAUUCUGUGCCCAUGGAUAUAGAAGACGAUGGUCAAGGACUGGAUGACUAUGAAGAUGGUGAGUUCAGGGAAGCACAACUGCGCUGUGUAGUGGAGAGUCCUAUAAGUGAGAAAAGAGAUGACAUCAGUCAUGGUGAUUCUGACAGUAAAAUGUUGGAUUCUACAGAGCUACAUCCAGAUGUUCAUCCUACUCCAUCCUCUGUUGAGGGAAAGGGAAUUAAUGCAGAACAACCUGUUGAAAUCAAUAAAGAUAGUGUUGAAGAAUGUAUUGAUACAAUCCUUGAUGGGAAACCCACCAAUGAUGUGGAUAAAGAUGCUUCUAGAGAAGAAUCAUCAGCAGUUGAGAUCUCGGCUAGUGGAGCUGAUAAAAAGAAGGUAGUCAAGACUGUGCGUAGAAAACCACUUGAUUUAUCAGCAAAUAACGAUGCCACGAAGGGUCUUGGAACUGAACAAUCUCCAGAUCAAGGUACUAGUGAAGGUCAAGGAACUUCGGUGGCUGUUGCUCAAGGUACAGUUGAGAAAGUGAACACAAAUGAUGUGGAAAAAAAUGAUUCAGCAAUACCCAAGCUGGAAACAUCUAUAAAUGCUGAUGGUGCAACUAAGGAUGUUAGCAGUGGAGCUAAUCAGAGUAGGAUUAUAAACCUGUCUAUAGCUUCUGGCAUGUCUUCUGGUAAGACAAAAUGUAUAUCCGGCAAGCCAUUGCCAUUGCACCUUGGAAGAGAAAGAUUGCCUGAUGUACCUCUAGAUCCUAGAGGGAGGUGAUUAUUUAUUGUCAUCAAUUGCCAUUCUGUUUAACUUUUCAGAAGUCUUAUGUUUAGUGUUAUUUAACUUUGUUCAUUGACAUCUUAUUCAGGGAUGAAAGUUAUGAGGGUUCACGCAAGUUUGCAAGAGAAAGGUAUCAAGAUCAGUCAUCUAGAAAUUCUAGAUGGAAUUGUGUUCAUGGAAGAGGGAGGCUUGCUAGUAGGAUUGAUUCUAUGUGCAGUGAUAGAGAUUCUGAGCACUAUUGCAUUCCCAGACAUAAAUAUGCAUCUGCUGUUGCUGGGUCCGAUUCUGAAUUCAUGAAUUAUAAUAUAGGACCGGAUGGUGCAUUUGUUGGUUCUCUUCGGGGAGGGAGAAAGGUAAUGGAAGAUGAUGCAUCAAUUUUCCGUCAUCUAUCUUCAAGGGGGCACUCUCCUGGAGGGAGAGAUGGACCUGCCUCACGUGGAUUUCAGAUGGUCCGAAGAGUGCCAAGAAGAAGCAUCGGGGAAGAUGAUUCUGAAGUUGUUGGACUAAGGCAUGCUGAGAAGAUUAUUAGGGGAUUCCCUGAUGAUGGCGAAGAACAUGCAUAUACACGUCCUCAACCUCCCUAUGAGGGAUUAGAUGGUCGCUUUGUACAAGGGACUAGGAACUUUUCUUCUGUUCAGAGAAGGGGUCUUCAUCAAAUGCAUUCAAAAUCUCCAGUUAGAUCUCGUUCUCCUGGUCCAUGGUCAUCUUCUAGAAGAAGGUCUCCAGAUGGGUUUGGUGGCCCCCUAGAAUUGCCUCACCGAAGAUCACCAAUUUACAGGAUGGAGAGGAUAAGGUCACCUGAUGGCCCAGGUUUUCCUGCAGAGAGGGUGCCUAGAAGGCGUGGUUCCCCAUCAUAUAUGUCCCGACCUAAUGAUAUGAGGGAAGUGGAUCCUUGUCGGGAUCAUGGUCAUCCAAGAUCUAUAAUCUCUAAUAGGAGUCCAACUGGCCGGGUUUUUCUCAGGAACAGGAGAUUUGGUGUUGCUGAUCCUAGACAAAGGCCAGAGAAUGAUGAGUUUUUUGAGGGGCCCAUGCAUCCUGGCCGUUUUCAUGAGCUUGGAGGCAGUGGAAAUGAUGAAGAGAGAAGGUUUGGUGAAAGGCGGGCACCUGUUCGUUCAUUUAGGGCUCCAUUUAAUGGUGCUGAUGGUGAAAAUUUUCCUGUCAAUACAGAGGAUGGCCCGAGGUCCUUUCGGUUCUUCCCUGAAAGUGAUUCAGAUUUCCAUGAGCGAGCUAAUUUGAGGGAAAGCGAAUUUGACAGACGGAUCAAGCACCAUCCAGGAAAUGCACCUCGAAGACCAAGAAACAUUGAAGAAGAAGGAAAUUACCGGCAUGGAGGGCAGGUGUUGUAUGACGAUAGUUUUGAUGAGAUGUCACGAUUGAAGAGGAAAAGAUUUUGACUAGAUUAAUUUACAUCUGCAGCAAGCUAGAUCCUGGAUUACUUGGUGAAUAUGAGGAAGCAGAAGGAAGAAUUAAUUCUGAUUUACAGCUGGGUGUUGAAAUAGCAAGUUGCUGUUCUAUUUAUAGUUCUCAGCUUUUCUGUGAGUACGAUGUGGAUGCUAGCUUGAUUUAAGACCAGUUACUUGCAACACUGGAUGGUUAAUCUGUCUUGUACAUACCAUGGAUCUUCUCGUAACUUCUCCACCAGUUUCUCAUUUGCUAAUUCUUGAUGUUAGCAGCACUUUAGCAAAUGUUUCAUUUGAGCAAGUUUUGUACUGUCAUAAUUGUGGUGGCACUUAAUAUAUUUGAAGGGUCAUUUUGGGGGAAAUAAUUCUUCAUAUUUUCUGUGGGGACCCUCAAGCUUCUCAAAGAAUCUUUACCUCUAUGUGCUGAUUAUUGUGCCUAGUUGGCCAGAUCAGGUAUGCAACUAGGAACAAUUUGAACUUUGAACUAAUUUUCAAGCCACCAAUGGGGCUUUAUUAAAUUCAGAGAUUAGCCUAUUCUUUGCUUUCAUUCGAUUCUUCACAAACCUUUGUGAUGUUGAACAAGCAUGCAUACUUUAAAUCAACCAAUUUGUGAGGUCAGCUGAUACAGUUUUAGCAGUGAUGCUGAAGGGGGAGAAGUUUUAUUAAUCGCUAUUCUUUUUCCCCUCCUGUAAAGUGCAUUAAUUGACACAAGAAAUAUGCAAGUCCGUCCUGCUUGUUAGCACUAGAGCACUUAACUGUUAGGUUCUGAUGAUGGCUGGUGGACUGAGGACCCAAUUUUGGUGUUAGCAGUUAAGAUGCUGGCAAUUUUGCUUGUGAAAAGGUCUAUGCUUUUUUUUGAGGAUGCAUAUGUGUCUUGUAGUAUGCUUUCUUAGCUGUGACAUUUGUCAUUCUUUAGUAAAUGAAACAUGUCAUUGGCUAUUUUUGUGAUUGCAUCUCAGGUUGACUGUUUCUGCAAUUUCUAGAUCAGGCGCACAUUUGCAAAGUAUUGAGCUUUGUCUUGGCAUCUUGGCGUCUUUUCUUACAGGCAUUAAUCUUAAGGGGAAAUAGACUCUGAAAAUAUUAGCCUCUCUUCAUAGUAGUGCUUUUGAUUCUUUCCUGUAGCUGUACCCUGUUUGCCUUCUACUGCAUUGGUGGAACAAAGAAAAGGUUGAUUUAUUAGGCAUGUGUCAAGCACAAGAAUUUAUCAAGUACCGUGGGUUAAAAGGUAAAGCUUCCUACAGUUAGAUGUAGAUCAGUUAGUGUUGCUUGUAGAUUAGCGACAGUUUGGAUCGCCUGCUUUUUGCCUUUUAAUCCCAUUUAUCAUAAAAUCAUCAUCAUAAUACUCUCUUUCCUUCUGUAGCGUGGUACUUUCUGUAACUUUUGCAGAUGAAGUCGUAUUAGGAAGUGGAAAAUAAGAAUUGGCAUGGCCAUAUCCAAUGGAUUAUGUCACAUGAUUUUGUACAGUUUUGAGAUUUAUAAUAUAUGGGAGCAUGUUAUCUUUGGCGUCUUUCCAGUAUAUUUCGCUUAUCUUGGUUUAAUAUGUCAGAAGCUACGAGGCAGUUUAUGAAAUUGCGUGUGGACUGGAAGCAGGACUAUUUAAAUUUGUUCUUUUGAGUUGUGGAAUCCAUGUCUAUUGAAAGGAAACUUUCAAACUUUGGCCUUGUAAAUGGAUGAGAAAAUGGGAGAGCUGACUUAUGGGAUCUCCUUACUCCGAUCUCUCAGUUUUAAGUUUUAACUAGCGAUCUUGAUGGUGAUUUUCUGGCCUUUGGUGAUAUAAACCCUUAUCAGGACUAUCGGAUGACUGAAGUCGUAUGCCCAAUCUGGUGUCCUGCUGUUUUUGUUGUCACCAAUAGUUCUCUUGGAAAGUCUAAAUAUGAUCUAGUACUGGAGGAGCCAAGGAUAAGGUAUGCAUAUGUGAGCUAGUCAAAGGAUGAGUGGUGCUAAGUGGAAAGGGAUGAGCUUUGAUAACUUAAAAAGGUUGAAAGCAAUCUGUUCUAGAUAAGAUUUAACUUUUUCAUGCUUUAAGGAAAGAAGUCAUGAAUGAUUGGAAAUAUGACAUGCAUCAAUUUAGUUGGUGUCGUUUUUUAAUCUGAAAAACUUGGAAGCUUAAGCAAGUGCUGGGAAAUUACAACAAUGACUUGAAAAGCAAUUGUUUGGAGUUUAAUUUGGCAACAGCUAACAGGGUGGUGUGGAAGUGGUGACGAGAGCCUUUAUCCAGCUGUGUGCAUUUGCCCUUUCUUAUACCAUGUGCAUGUGCAUGUGCAUGUGCAUGUGCAUGUGCAUGUGCAUGUGCAUGUGCAUGUGCAUUCGACAGCAGGCUUUCCCCUUUUCUCCCUUGUGAAAAAAAGCAGAGAGCCUAAGGUAAUGGGAAAGGGGAAAAUGGGAUGUUCAAUCUCAUGGGAUUUUCUAAAUUGAAUUUAAAAAUACUUUCUAUUGGGCUUAGUCAAUGCAAGGAAAAAAAACCCAUUGUAAUUAUAGUUUUAACCAUAAUAGAAAUACUAAAUUUGUGGGAUGAGCAUCGCGUCAUCAGUUUCGGUGGCUUAUGAUUCCCAUUCCCAUAGAAUAACAAACUGACAAAAUGUAUAUAUUUUAUUCGUUAAAUAACUACAUAAAUCAGCACGAGCACACGAUCAUAUGUGUAGGGUUGAGCAGUUUUCAAUUUAAAAUUUAAAAUUAAAUCAAAUUAAACUAAUCUUCGAUUAUUAGAUUUAUGUAAUUUGAUUCGGUUAUUAUUUAUGAAAAUAAAAUUUUGAUUUUUGUUAACCAAAAUCAAGUAGAAAAAUUGAACCAAUCAGUAUAUAUACAUAUAUAAUCCUAAUAUAGCAACUCUCCUUUUUAUUUUUACUUUCAGCCACCCCACCUCUCUCACUCCUCCUCAUUUCUCUCCUCUCUCUCACUUCCUCGCUCUUUCUUCCCUCUCGCUUAUAGUAAAAUCAAGCUGUAAACGGCAAGCCAUGAUUUGUCGACAUCAAGCUGAAAUUAUGGCUUGACAACAAUCAUUAUUUCAAGAGCUCUAACAUUGAUGAAGGGUGCUUUGUCUAGACGCAGCCGAGGGUGGGUUUCAGUAGUCAAAUUAGAAUAAAUCAACUGAUUUGAUUUAGACGGUUUAAAAAUAUUUUUAAUUUUUUUAAUGGUUUCAGUUGGAUUUGAUGGCGAUUACAAUUAUGAUUUUUUUUUUUAAUUUUAGUUUCGAUUUCCAUUAAAUUUAAAUUAUAAAUAAUUAAUUCAAUUUUAAUUUUAAAAAAAUUUAAAAGUGAAAAUUUUAAAUAAAAUAUAAAAAAUAAAUAAAAAUUUUAAAUAUUAUUGAAUAUAUAUUUUAUUAAAUUAAAUAUAUUGUACAAAAAUAUUCAUUUACAUAAUAUAAAAAAUAAAAUAAUAUUACAUUUAAAUAUAAAUAAUAUUUUUUACAAAUUAAAAAAAAAACUAAAACUUAUAAGUAACAUAAUUUUUAUAUCAUUUAUUUUAUAAAUAAGAAAUUAAACUGAAAUUAAAUUGAAUUGAUGAUUUGAACCUAUCAGUUUUGAUUUUAGUUUACAUGAAAAUGAAUUAACUGACCCCUUCAUCUAUAGUUCCGAUCCAAUUUAGAAACGAGAAUCAGCAGUCCAAUCCCAAAUUCGACGGGUCUGAUUUAUGGUCUGAAUCAAACCAUGGCUAAGUCUAGCUUUGUCCAUGUCAAAGGCUCUCUAGCAAUGUAAUCCACCAUUGUUAUCACACCCUUGUCAAUCCUUGUCAAUUCCUUCAUCUCUAAGAUUAGGUCUUGCUCUAGGAUUAGGUGCUUUAUUUUUAACAUAGAAUUGGAUUUUCUGUUAAUUCUUAUAAAUUUUGUAUUUAUUGUUUGUGAAUUUAUUGUUUGCUCUAACAAUGGGUCUUUUGUUCUUGCUCUAAGUUUGGAUUUUUUGUUCUUGCUAAUUUGCAAGGUUUACUACAAAAUUGUAAGCUUUUGUAUCUGCAAUUUGUUGUUAUUGGCUGUUAUUGUGAUUUUUUAAUUUGAUUGUAUUUUUCUUAAUUGUUUUAAAAUUUUAGGGGUUAUAAUUUUGGUUUUGAAAAAUUUGGUAUGGAUGUGGGAAGUCUAUUUAGAAUUGAUUCUCUCAUUUAUUAUCCAUUUAAUUGAAUCUGAUGACCGCUGAAUUUCACUACCCCGGUCUAAAGCCAGACCCACGAUGACAACCCAUGACCUGAAGGCUUCUAAGUCUCCCGCAUGAGCCAGGUCCAGCCCGCUCAGUCUUAAGACCGGACCCCAUUUAGAUUUUUCAAUCAGGCCGGCCCUGCCUAUUCCGACCCAAUGAUCAGACCUCCUCUAAACUCAGCCUUAAUCUCAUCUUCCAGCGCAGCCCAGAAGAAGGAAGGUGGCCAGUCCACCCAUCUAGUGGGACCCUUCGCAUGCGCGCCAGAGGAGAAUUAAGUGGCCGUUACGCAUGAAGCAGAAUAUCUGAUAUUCUCGUACGACCGUAUCAGAAUGGCAGGGACAGGUGGCCCAAUGGCGGUAAAGCCGUUACACGUCACUGACAGACAAAAGAAAAGGAUAAAAGGGGAGGAACACUCUCCUUUCGACCUAAGCUUACAGAACGCUUUGUAAACCCUAUUUUCUGGAUCUCAAAUCAUCAAUUGGCGUCGUCUGUAGGAACGAAGGAGAUCUUUUCAUUGCCGGAGUUCCACUCUCACAAUACCCACUGAGAUCCACUAUGGCCAAUCAUAAUGAAAACAACCUUGUUAACACCCCCAAUGACCUGAGCUCUGUCCAGGAGGGGCAACAUUUCUCUUUCUCCAGCCUCACAACCCCAAACAACCAAACACCAAUCCCCUUCAACCCCUCGCCGAGCUUGACAGGGAAUGCAUCCGGAGCUGUCUUAUCCAACCAGGAUCUCCAAGCUAUGGCCCUCCAACUACAAAACACCGCCCACUGGCUGGGGCAGAUGAUGCAACAGAGGGGCCUUAGCACCCCAAUGAAUAUGACGCCCGUAGUAGAAGAACCCUUAACCAAUGAACCCCAGCCUACCUUCAACCACCCCCAAGCUAUCAGCCGAGAAACCGGAGAAGGGGGGCGAAGAGCAGGAGGAGAAGAAGAACCGGAGGCUAGAGUUCAUGGAAGAAGGGUGAGGGAGCUGAUAGAGAACGACGAGGCAGACAAUUAUUCUGCCGGAACAACCAGAAGAACGGGAAGUGAAGCUGGGGAGGAAGAAUACCGUCCAGAGAAGAGACCCAGACAGGAGGAAGAAAGUGUAGAUCAAAAGCUGCAGAAAUCGAGAGAACAACUCUUAGAUGAACUGGGAGCGAAGGAUCCCAACCAAGCCCUCUUGCCCACCUCUUCACCUUUCUCGAAGUGGGUGCAGCAAGAGAUCGUCCCCAAAAAGUUUAUGAUGCCACCCAUGGCGGCUUACGACGGAGCAGGAAAUCCCAGGGAGCACGUCUUGAAUUAUAAGAUUUUUAUGGAGUUGCAGACUUUAUCAGAUGCCUUGAUGUGCAAGGUAUUCCCAACGACGCUUACGGGGCCGGCACGGGCAUGGUUUAAUAGCUUGGAGGCUGGGAGUAUCAGGAGCUUCGGGGAUCUAGCCAACGCCUUCAUCAGCCGGUUCAUAGCCGGAAUACUAGCGGAUAGAAAGACCAACUAUCUGGAGACAGUCAGGCAGAAAAGGGACGAGUCGCUGAGGGAGUAUGUUGCCCGUUUUAAUACCGAGGCCCUACAGAUUCCCGAUCUGGAUGAGGGAAGAGCGGUGGAGGCCAUGCAGAAGGGGACGAUCUCCGCUGAAUUUUUUGGCUCGUUGAGCAGAAAGCCCCCCACCACGCUGGUAGAACUGAUGAAGAGGGCAGAGAAAUAUAUAAGGCAAGAUGACGCCUUAAUGACGAGUAGAUUCGCCAAGGGGGCGGAAGACAGAGGAAAAGCCCCCGAAGAAAGGAGAUCGGAGAGGCAUGAGAAGAAGCAGGCCAAGAAACCUGAGCCCUACCGGCAGCCCUGGGACCGGAGAGACCAGAGACCUUUCCCUCCUCAGGUUCCGGAACAAAAGCCAUUCCCUCCGCGAAUUCCGAAGAACCUGACCCCGCUCAACGCAUCCAGAGCCGAGGUGUUCAUGGCAGUUCAGGAUAAGGAGUUCCUACAAUGGCCCAGGCCUAUGAGGGCAGAAGCAGACCAGCGAAAUCCUGACAAGUAUUGUCAGUAUCAUCGCACCCAUGGCCAUGACACCAAUAACUGCUACCAGCUGAUCAGUGAAAUUGAAAGGCUGAUAAAGAGGAGACACCUCAGGAACUUUGUGAAGAAGCCGGAGGGGCAGAGGCCUCAACUGAACCCAGCAGCACAAGCACCCAGGAGGACGGGAACAGGACCUGUGAAUGAUGGCUCCAGCGGAACCAUCAACAUGAUCGUUGGGGGAACUGGAGGUCGGAUGAGCCGGAGGGGAAGGAAGAGAGGCUGAGAUGGGGAAAGCAGCAGUGCCGAAGUCAUGCAGGUAGUUGAGCACUCUCCAGCAACUAUCACCUUCUCCCCGGAGGAUGCCCAGGGUGUUCAGAUGCCUCAUGACGGCGCCCUCGUUAUUGAAGCCGUCAUCCACAACUACCGGGUUAAGAAGAUUUUGGUGGAUGACGGGAGUAAGGUGAACUUGCUGCCAUACCGGGUCUUCCAGCAGAUGGGAAUCCUUGAAGAGCAAUUGGUUCGGGACCAAACCCCAGUCAAAGGGAUCGGGGGAGUCCCAGUACCUGUGGAGGGGAAAGUAAAGCUGGCCCUCACUCUAGGAGAAGCGCCAAGGAUUCGCACUCAUUAUGCGGUGUUCUUAGUAGUCAAACUCCCCCUGAGCUACAACGCAAUAUUGGGACGACCUGCGCUGUUCGACUUUGAGGCUGUAACCAGCAUUAGGCAUCUGGCUAUGAAAUUUCCGACAGAAGCGGGAGUGGGGGUAGUCAAAGGAAGCCAGGAGGAGGCAAGGGCAGUGUACCUGGCCACGGUAUCAGAGCCGAGCUCGGCGGGGGAGAAGCCCGACUCGGAAGUUCUGGAGGUCCAAAAUGAGAAAAAAGAGGCCAAAACAGAGCCAGUCGGAGAGCUGGAGACCUUUCCCUUAUCAGAAGCAGAGACAGACAAGGUCUUCAGUCUUAACGUCGGCCUCACUGAAGAGCAGAACAUGGAAGUCAUGGCCCUGAUCUGAGGUCACGCGUCGAGCUUCGCCUGGAAGCCUUCUGACAUGCCCAGGAUUGACCCCAGAGUGAUCACACAUAAGCUGAAUAUCCUCCCAGAGGCCAGGCCGGUAAAGCAGAAGAAGAGGGUAAUAGGAAGGGAGAAGCAACAAGCCACUAGGGAGGAGGUGCAGAAGUUAGAAGAGGUAGGGUUUAUUAGAGAGGUCAUGUACCCACAGUGGCUAGCAAAUCCUGUAUUAGUCAAAAAAGCUAAUGGAAAAUAUAGGAUGUGUAUAGAUUUUACAGACCUUAAUCAAGCGUAUCCCAAAGAUUGUUACCCCCUCCAUGAUAUUAAUAAAAUGGUCGAUUCUACGGCCGAAUUUGAUUACAUGUCGUCUUUGGAUGCUAUGUCUGGUUAUCACCAAAUUCCAAUGGACAGGUCGGAUGAAGAAAAAACCUCGUUCAUAAUGGAAGAUGGGACCUACUACUAUAAAGCCAUGCCUUUCGGGCUGAAGAAUGCCGGGGCAACAUACCAAAGAUUGAUGAAUAAAAUCUUCAAGGAUCAGAUCGGCAGGAAUGUCGAAGUGUAUGUGGAUGAUAUGGUGGUGAAGAGUCCGACUUUUCAGCAGCACUUAGUGGAUCUGAGGGAGGUGUUCGAGGUGCUAGAGCAGUAUAGAAUCAGGCUGAACCCAGCGAAAUGUGCCUUCUUUAUCAGGGGUGGAAAAUUCCUGGGAUACAUGGUGAGUGGAAAAGGCAUUGAGCCCAAUCCGGAGAAAGUGGAAGCUAUCCUGAAUAUGCCCGAGCCGACCUGCGUGAGAGAUAUCCAAAGACUUACUAGAAGAGUGGUGGGGCUCAAUCGCUUCAUGUCGAGGUCGGUAGAAAGAUGGUUACCGUUCUUUAAGAAGUUGAGGAAAGUGCCAAACUUCGAGUGGAUCGAGGAUUGCCGAGAAGCUUUUAAAGAGCUCAAAAGCUAUCUGUGCUCGCCUCAUGUACUUAGCAGUCCAUUGGAGGAAGAAGAGCUCCUGAUAUUUGUCAGCCUCAAAAUAAGCAGUCAGUGCUGUGUUGGUAAGGGUGGAAGGAGGAGAGCAGAAGCCUAUUUUCUAUGUCAGCAAAGUGCUCAAAGACGUCGAGGUGAGAUACCUCAACAUUGAAAAAAUAGCAUAUACCCUGUUGCUGGCAGUCAGAAAGUUCAGGGUCUAUCUCGAAAGCCACCAAGGAGUAGUGAUGACAGACCAGCCGUUAAAGAAGAUCCUCCACAGGCCGGAAACAUCAGGUCGAAUACUCGCCUGGUCCAUUGAAAUUAGCCCCUACUGCUUAGAGUACCGACCCCAGACCACCAUAAAAUCCCAAGCCCUUGCUGACUUCAUAGCAGAGUGCUCGUUCAAUGAAGAACAGAUGAAACGGGGUGAGUCAUCUUUGGAAGAGUUGGGGAAUGAGAGAGAAGGGCAAUCCUCUCAAGAAUUCAGCUGGAAGCUGUAUGUGGAUGGAGCAUCAGGCGCUGGGGGCAAUGGUGCUGGAAUAAUGUUGACAGGACCUGAAGAAUUUAAAGUUUGCUAUGCCCUACGCCUAGAGUUCAAGGCCUCUAAUAAUGUGGCGGAGUAUGAAGCCUUAAUAAAUGGAAUGCUGGUAGCAAUGGAGGUAGGGGCAACCGACCUCGAGGUAAAUAGCGACUCCCAACUGGUGAUCAAUCAGAUAACAGGGGCAUAUCAGGCCAGAGACCCUACCAUGUAGAACUGCCUAGCGAAGGCGAAGGCCAUAGAAGCCGAACUCAAGAGUCGGGAAAUUGCAGUUAGGUAUUAGAAAAUACCUCGAAAAGAGAAUGAAGAGGCAGACCUGCUCAGCCGAUUAUCUAAAGAGGAGCUAGAACAACUCCCUGACGAGGUAUACAUCUAAUACAUUAGCACACCUGCCUUUAACAAAACGGCCACUAUAUUGCAGGUGGAACAAAACCAGAGCUGGAUGACCCCAUACCUGGAAUACCUGGAGAAGGGAAAGCUCCCUGAUGACAAAGAUGAAGCAAAGAAGAUAGCAGCUCGCGCCGCUAAUUACCAAGCAGUAAGGGGGAAUUUAUAUAGAAGGGAAAAAUCCAGCCCGUGGUUUCGAUGUGUGGGCCCGGAGGAGGCAAUAAAGGUGAUGGAAGAAAUACACAGGGGAAUGUGUGGAGCUCACGAAGGAGCAGGAACGCUGGCUAACAAGAUAUUCAAGCAAGGGUACUACUGGCCCACUGUCAAAAAAGAGGCAGAGGAAUUUAUCCGAAGAUGCGAUGUAUGCCAGAGGUUUGCUAAUGCCGUCAAUGUUCCAGCCACUCCUCAGUCCAGCAUAUUCAGCCCGUGGCCUUUCUCACAGUGGGGAAUAGACAUCCUGGGACCCUUUCCCAAGACCACGGGGCAGAAGAAAUUUGUAGUGGUGGCUGUGGAGUACUUCUCGAAAUGGCCAGAAGCAGAGGCGAUCCCCACAAUCGCAGCCCGUAAAAUAAUAGACUUUGUAUGGGGCAACAUCAUCUGCAGGUUCGGAAUACCGAGGGUACUCAUCUCAGAUAAUGGCAGACAAUUCGACUGCAGUGCCUUCAGAGCGUUUACAGCAAACAUGGGCAUAUGGCACCAAUUAUCCUCGGUGGCCCAUCCUCAGACCAACGGUCAAACAAAGGUCACUAACAGAGCCAUCCUCCAGGGAUUGAAGAAGCGGCUGGAUGGGGCAAAGGGGAAUUGGACAGAAGAGCUCAAUAGCAUCCUGUGGGAACUCCGAACAACCCCCAGGACGUCCACUAAAGAAACGCCUUUUGCACUCGCAUUCGGCACUGAAUCUGUGGUGCCAAUCGAGCUGCAGGUCCCUACUCAUCGAGUCCAAUUCAAUAGCAAAAACACCAACGAUGAUAAGUUAAGAAGUAACCUGGAUGCUCUGGAAGAAGUUAGGGAGGAAGCUCAAGUCCGAACUGCCGCUUAUCAGCAAAGGGCUGCCCGUUAUUACAAUAAAAGGGUCAGAGAAAGAAGCCUGAAAGUAGGAGAUCUGUCCCUGAGAAACCUGGAAGCUACUGGAAAGAGAGCGGCAGUAGGAAAGUUGGCACCAACCUGGGAGGGUCCCUUCAGAAUAGCAAAAGUAGUCAAGCCGGGGGUAUAUCGAAUUGAGGACAUGCAAGGAAACCCUGAACCUCAUGCUUGGAAUAUCCAGCAUUUGAAACGGUACUUCCCCUGAGAUGUUAUCCAAUGUAAAAAGAUCGAUUGUACUUUUAAAGCAUGGUAAUAAAAUGGAUGAUGUCCUCAUCCAAAUUCUUUAUUUGCCAUAUCUGACGUUGUUUUCAUGAAAGAAACAAAAGAAAAAAAUAAAACAGGCACCAAGGCCCAAAGCUUCAGGGAAGUAGGUGACCAGGAUCUCCAAGAUCUCCCGGCGCCACAAAGCCGAACUAAGGUGACAAGACCGGGACCCUCAAGAUCUCCCGGCACUACAAGACCGAGAUCCCCAAGAUCUCCCGGCACCACAAAACCGGGAUCCCCAAGAUCUCCCGGCAUUACAUGACCAGGAUCCCCAAGAUCUCCGGACAUCAUAAAAUCGAUGGAGACAACGAGUCGGCAGGCAGAUAGACGACUGGGAUCCCCAAGAUCUCCCGGCACCAAAAAACCGAGCUGAAAAGACAAAAGUAACGUGAAGACAAAAGCGCCGACCUGAGACACGUAAACAUAAGCCCAGAAAGGUAAUCAAGAAAAAGGCCGAGUUCAGCAAGCUAUAAGCCUCCCAUGAUCUAGAAAGAAGCCUAAAGCAUGAGCAGACAAGGCCCCAGUCUCGAUUCCUAUCGGAGUAGAACUAAGAACAAAAGGGCUAGCCCUGCUCAUUACCUUAAAAGGUACAUGAUCCAUUUCACUUUGGUUAUAUGAAUGUUGUACUAUUGAACUCGCAUUGUGGACGAGUCAACAGAACAGAAAAUAAUAAGAACGCCUGUAUGAAGUUAUAGAAACUCAUGAAUUGGAAGUAUAGUCAAUUGUUAAAAAUCAAACUCAUAGGUGACGACCUGAUAUGGUUGAAUCCUGCGAAAGAUUAGAUAAACAUAUAGCUUAAAGGUUUUUAUCUUUAAGGUAAAUCCAGCUCGGAAAAGGCUUACAGAUAGGAAUGCCUUGGUGAGAAUGGAAAAUUUUAUAAGUUAAAAGUUUAGUCAAUUGACAGAAUUUCAGCUCUGAUUGGCUUGAGGGCAAAAGAGGAAAAACGAUAUAGUUGAUUCCUUAGAAAAAUUAUGAAGCACAUGGUUUAAGUGUUUCAUUCUUAACAUAUAUGGCUUAAGUAUUUUAUCCUUGACAAUUUGGGCAUUUUUAUAGCAUAAGCAGUUCGGUAAAGCCUGAACAACAAACAAAAAUAGAAACAAUUCAAAUAUAGAUACAAGCAAAAGUCAAAUUUCAUUGAAUAAAGUUACAAUUACAACCUACUUUACUGAAGGGAAAACUGUCCUUAAAGGACUUACAUGCCUAGGUAUAUCUACAUUGUUAUCUUCUAUACUACUAUUUGCAAAAGGUACCAUUUUCCCCCUGUGGGGCCCUACUUCUUCACCCCUUUGAGGCCCAGCGUCUUCGUCCUCCUGCCCCAGCUCGACAGCUGCCUCAGAAGGCCCAGCUGCAGUGCGAGAAGCUCCUUUAGGCAAGUGUCUGUCAUCCUCCCCGUAUAGCACCUCCUUGCCGUCAGAGUCCUCCUCAGCAGCUUGGAGUUCAGCCAACGGGGUGGAGGGGGCAUAUCUGGCAGUUCUUAGGCCUCGAUUGUAUCCAAAGACGAACGUGCGGAAGCUCUUAUUCCAUAUAGCAGUCUUCAUCUCGCCAGAGCCUUUGAAUUCCGCAAGUCGCUCCUCAUAGGCCUCAGCUAUCUUGGUCUUUAGCUCCGAAGAGUCCUUAUAAUUUUGGAGAUAAGCUUCACAGGCCUGCUGGAUCUCCCUUUUGAGCUCAGCCGACUCCUUGUACUCCCUUAAGCGCUCCUCGCACUCCAGCUAGACUCUGUCCUCAGCAUGCUUGGCGUCCUCGAGCAAGCCGCACACCUUUUCUUAAGAACCUCGACCUCCUGGCAGAGAUGCUGGUUUUGAAGUUUAGACGUCUCUACUGCCAGGGCUAGGUCUCUCUCAUUAUCAGCCCGCUUAGCCAGCUUUUGCUCAAGGACCACCACCCGAGCCAGGGCUUCUUCUCUCUGUGCCAGCACGGCAUCAAAAUCUACCUUCAGUAGCUCGUGCUGGUGCCGGGCCUCAUCCUUCUGACUCAGGGCCUCAUCCCUUUCUCGCUGGAUCUCCUCCAAGGAGGACAGCUGCUUUAAAGCUUUGUCACGUGGAUCCUCCGCCUCAGUUUUCCUCCCAUCAGCCCUUUUGAGGGCUUCCAGCGCAGUGUGUAGCUCUAUCUGGAGGGACCUGGAAUGCUCUCGGGCAGCCGCGAGAUUGCCCCUAGCGUCGCUGGUUGCAGAUAGGUUCUCCUCCAAGCGUGCCUCCUUAAUUCAGCGAUCCACAGACUCCCAGAGAGAGUGGUCACGAGCGUCCACCUCCAUGAAAAGGCCCAUCACCUAGUACAAAGAGACAACCGUUAAGACAAAGAAACCAAGAAAGCUAAAAUGAAAACAAAAGGGACAACUUACCAUCAGGAGCAUCUCCCUGAUUCUAUCUCCGAGCUCCCCUCGGGGUCGAGACUGAAACACUGCCUGCUCUCGAGUAAAACCAGCCAAAUGGCCAGUUAGAGUAAGCAGACGAGGGUCCGAAGCUUCCGUGAUCCCACUGAACAUCCGCUCCCGCAAGAUCUCCGCUACAACGCUCGCCAGAGUUUGGUGAGUAAUAUCCUCCGCGUUCAAGAUGUCGUUGUCAGGAGCAGACAAUAGGGGCACCACGGGAGCAUCUUUCUUUUUUUCGAGAGGAUGGAGAGCUGGAGCCGGUCUCCUAGAAGCCCGAGAUUUCUUUGGGACGGGAACCGGGGCAGGCACUUCGGUGGGGACAGGACGCUUGUCCCCGACCUUCUCUGCGACACCCCCACCAUCAACAGGACUGGGUCCCAUUCCCUCAGGAGCAGGGGCAACCCCGAGAGGGGCCUCCUGGGCACCUUCGCCCGCCUCAGGAACCUCCUCGGAAGGAAGGACAGGAUCCGUCCUCGCCAGUUCGGUGCCUUCGACUAGCUUAGAGAUGACCCCUGGAGCCUCUUCCGUCCCCUCAUUAGAAGCUUGUCGAGACCGGGGGGCUUGGGAAUGCUGAGGAGCCGAGCUCGAUCUGCUGCGGCUGGAUGGCUGGGACGACUUGCUAUGUCGGGAGCUCAGUCUGGGAGCCCGAGAGGAGACCGGAGGAGGAGGAGGUCGGGUAGCCGACCUGGAAGAAAUGACUUCGGCCACCCUUUGAGUAGCCUCCCCCACAGAUUGCCCAGCCAGAAGGGCAUCCAGAGCAGCGUUCAUGCUCUCCCGGGACAAUAUAAGAUUCUUAGGAGGCUUGAUUUGGUCCAUUUUCACCUCAGAAGAUGCAAAGAUCCAAAAUCAUGGCAAGUUAGAGCAAUCCUCAAUAAAAAUCACAAAAAUAAAGCAAAACGGGUAAAUGAAAUAGAGUACCCGCAUCCUGGAUAUCCCGGAGACUGGACACAAACAUACACUUCUCGACAUCAUACUUCUUUUCGACAGAAGUCAGUCGAACAAACCCUACCUGCUCGGUAAGGCUCAACUGGGGCAGGUCGUUGCAACCCAACGAGACAUCUUCCCAGUCGAGUUCUACCCCCCCAGGACAAACUGAGGUCUUCUUUCAACUCCACCACAACAAAGCCCUCUACCCAGCCCUUUAUUGAGUCCUUAUAGCCCGUGAAAAUGGAUAAGCCACCACGGGGGGCAAAGUAGUAGAAGCACUGACUUGCCCGGACGAGACAGAAAAAGGUCACGAACAGACACGCCGUGGGCGCAAACCCCCAGCUCAGACAAAUGGACUCGAAAGAACACAUAAAUAAAAUGGAGUUGGGAGAUAAUAUUUGGGGGGUUAUCCUGAAGUAUUGGAAGACCUCGGUGAAGAAGGGAGUGAAAGGAAAAGUUAAGCCAUAGUCUCGUUGUUUAAUAAAAAAGACUAGGCUAAGGUCUUUCUGUGGGUCUAUCAAACCGGGAGGGGGAGGAUCGGAAAGAACGAUCCUCUCAUUCCGGUAAGGAGCUCGGAUACGGUAAAGAGGGGUGUCCAAAUAUUUUCGGGAGAAGAAGUUUGUCAGAUUGGAAGGGGUGAUAUUAGACUCUAGAUUAAAGACUUCAGGAAGCUUUGAGCCUUCCAUGGUGAAGAGAGAAGCGUACCUUGAAAAUAAAGACAGGGAGACAAAGAUAGCAGUGCGCACGAAGAAUAGAGGAAAGCAAGAACUUGGAGAAGACAGAGAGAAUUCGAAAUUCGAAAUGACAAUAAGGUGAAAAGAUGUUCUGAGGCAAGCUGUAUUUAGGCGGCGCGGUCAUAAUAAUUCUCGGUAUUUACCCCCUCAUCAUUCGGACAAUAACUGAUGAGAAGGUAAAGGGGCAAUUGAUGACCGCUGGAUUUCACUACCCCGGUCUAAAGUCAGGCCCACGAUAACAGCCCAUGACUUGAAGGCUUCUAAGUCUCCCGCGUGAGUCAGGUCCAGCCCGCUCAGUCUUAAGACCGGACCCAUUUAGAUUUUUCAAUCAGGCCGGCCCUGCCUAUUCCGGCCCAAUGAUCAGACCUCCUCUAAGCUCAACCUUAAUCUCAUCUUCCAGCCCAGCCCAGAAGAAGGAAGGUGGCCGGUCCACCCAUCUGAUGGGACCCUCCGCAUGCGCGCCAGAGGAGAAUUAAGUGGCCGUUACGCAUGAAGCAAAAUAUCUGAUAUUCUCGUACGACCGUAUCAGAAUGGCAGAGACAGGUGGCCCAAUGGUGGUAAGGCCGUUACACGUCACUGAUAGACAAAAGAAAAGGAUAAAAGGGGAGGAACACUCUCCUCUCGACCUAAGCUUACAGAAUGCUUUGUAAACCCUAUUUUCUGAAUCUCAGAUCAUCAGAAUUGAACUGAAUUAAAUGAACUAGAGCGAAUCGAAUUAAUUUUUUUUAUACUUUUAAUGGUGUUUUUUUAGCAUUUUAGUUUUGGAGUUUACACAUGUGUGCGGAGAUUUUCAAAGUAGGUGUAACGUUAUAUGUUACUGAUUUUUGCUUGCAGAGUAAAUUUUUUAAUUUUUUAAUUUUAAUUCAAUUGAGAAUCAAACCGAUAGAAUGCAUUCUACACAGAAAGUAUAAAGAGUAUAUGUAACGACCCGUAAAUCGGACCGCUACCGGCGCUAGGAUUCAGAUCGAAUUAAGGUCGCCGGAACCCGUAGCAAGACUAACAUACAUCCUGUACAUCUGAUAAAAUCCCAUACACGAUCAUACAUUUCAUACAAAAAACUUUAAACUUUUCAUCUACUAAGCUUGACCUGUGCAUGCACUAAACUAUAUACAUAAAACCCCUUACUGGAGUCCUCAUCAAAUGCUCCAGUUGGGUCAACAUCUCAUAUAUCAAGCCUGGUUCAACAUAUCUCAUCAUUAAAACAUUUACAUAAGGAUCAUGUACAAAGGGAUUUCAAAACAUAAACUAGGGCAAAGCACAAUUCUAAUCCAUCACAUAAUUACAUAUCCACUACUAUCUAUUACAUAAACUACAUCAUCUACCUUGGCGACUUUCCGUACUAUCUCUGACCUGCAAACUUAGGGGUUAGGGGAAAGGGGUGAGCUACUAAAGCCCAGUGAGCAGAACUGUAAAAAUAUUAUAAUAAACAUAUGCUUUCAUGAAAUGCGUCACAGCGCAAACAAUUCACAUCACGGAUGGACUGACCCAAAAAUCCCUCUACUCUGUGCCCGGCCCUCGGUGGAGCUCCUCAGGACUUCUAUUACAUAACAUAAGCUGUGUGCCAGGGGCGUAGUGCAGGCCACACCUGGUCUUUCCUGUACUCUGUGCCAGGGGCGUAGAAUGGCAGCCCUGGUCUUUCAUUACAUAACAUAAUAUCUAGAGCGCUAAUGGGUCGUCCUGUUGUCCAUCCACACCAACAAUAAAUAAUGCAAUGCGUCAUAUUCGUGAAUUCUAAUGCAAACAACCUAUUACAUAUCAUGAUGCAUGAACAUGCUUAAAAAGUUUGAUUGCUUUGAAAAUAAAGAAGUUCUGUUCUACUCACCUCUGGCUGACUCUGAACUAACUCUGUAGCAGCUAUCUCACUGCUGAUCACUUCGGUUCCUCUGGUCCGAUCCUACACAGGUGGACUCAAGUGAGAGACCAAACAUACUCUAACAUGACUCUAAACAACUCCCCAAAAACCCCCUAAAACAUCAUCAAAACAUGCAUAGGAAACUAACAAAGGAAGGCUGGACAGGGGACUUUCGGCUAGGGGUGAGCAUUCGGUCGGUUCGGUUCAAAAUCGAACCGAACCAAAUAAACCAAAAACCGAAAUUUUAGUAUUUAUGAAAAUCGAACCGAAUCGAUUUUGGUCAGAAAAUCGAAUCGAAUCGAACCAGACUGAUUCGGUUCAAUUCGGUUCGGUUUGAUCGAUUUCGAUUUUUAAUAAAUUUUUUAUUUUUUACACUUUAUUUUUAAUAUUUUAAAAUUUAAUUAAAAUAUUUUAACUUAAAUAUGAUUUAAUUUUUCUAUAUUAUUGAAAAUAAUAUAUUAUUAUCAUGAAAUCAGUUCGGUUCGGUUUUUUUGAUUUUUUCUGAUCAAAACCGAACCGAACUGAAAUAACCUAAAUUUUUAAAAUUAAAAACCGAACCGAACCGAAAUGAAUAAAAAACCGAACUGAAUUUUCAAAUUAAUUCGGUUCGAUCGGUUUUUUCGGUUUGAACCGAAUACUGCUCACCCCUACUUUCGGCGGCAGGUUCGACGGUCGAAGGUCCCUACAAAUCCGAAAGUCAGGCACUUUCGGGGGCAAGGUUCGGCGGCCGAAAGCCUUCACAGAUCCGAAAGUCACUAUCCUUCGAGGGCAAGUUCGGCGGCCAAAACUCUUCUCCAGAGCCGAAAGUCCAACUUUCGGGGCGAGCUUAGGCUGCCAAAACUGCCUCCACAGGCAGGUUCGGCGGCCGAAACUGGUUUCGGCGGCCGAACCUGGGUCCUCCCAAAGGGCAGAACCCGAUUCCCCCUCACUCAUCCAGCCACCCAAAACUUUCCAACAUGCAUCCAACUAUUUUAAAAUAUGCAUAAACACAUUUUCAAGCUCAUAGGGGCAUAAAACUAGGCUAAACCCCAAUAAACAUCAACAUAGCAUCACAUUUAGCAUUAAACUAACACAAACCGUAACAUUUUAGAUCUAACCAAAACAUGCAUUCUAACUCCCUUAACCCCUUCUUAAAACUUACUUAAAACAUCAUAAAAAGGCGUGGAUCUACACUUAUCUCUUGAAGAUCGAGAGUAGGCGUGACCCAAACUUGGAGAUGUAGAGGAACGAGCUCCGGGGAUCUCCAAUCUCCAAAACUUUGAUCUUAGCUUAAAAUCUUCAAAACAAAGCAAAAACUUAUAAAAAUCUUGAAGGAAAAGAAGGAAAAUACAAAAUCAACUAAAGGAGGGCGAAAUCUCACCUAUGCCCGAAAAAAGAGAGAGAAAACUUGCCCAUUUUCAGACAUGGGGCCUUUUAUAGGUGGCUGGCCAGACCACCUUCGGGGGCCAAAGGUGCUUCCGCAAGAGCCCAAUGUUCGGCGGCAGAACCUGGCUUUUCCCUCCUUGGUCUUUUCUUUCAAAACUCAAUUUCUUUCUUCAUUAAAACCAUAAAAACAUAUAAAAACAUUUUAGAAAACCAUUAUUUUACCCUUUUAGAAGACUCCGACAUCCGAGAAUUUCGGAUUUCAACGGAGAUUCCGCCAGAAGGUAGGAAUUCCGAUGCCGGAGUCUAACAGGAUAUUAUAGUAUAUAGUUGUUUGUUUGUGUUUUAGUUUUUGUAUUGAUCCAAGUUUUGGCAAUAAAAAAAUUUAAAAAGAAAUUCAAUUAAAUUUCUAUAUUUUUUUUCUAAGAAUCAAAUAAAUUCAAUUCAAAUUGGAUCAAUUAAAUUUCUCUACUUUUAUUGAGUGGCAAAUAAGUCGUAACAUAAUAUAAUUAUUUUUUAAUAAUAAAAUAUUAUUUUAUAUAAUUUAAAGUAUAAAAAAUUUAAUAUUUUAAUUAAUAUAAAAAUUUUUAAAAAUAUAUAUAGAAAUAAUAAAUAAUUUUUAAAAUUAAAAAAUUAUUAUUAUAUACAAAAAUAUUUUUAAUAUUAAAAAAUAUUUUAUUAUUUAAAAAUAAUAUUAUAUUAAAUGAGAACUUAUUUAAUUCUUAAGUAAAAAUACAUAGGUUUAAUUAGAUUUUUAUAUAUAUAAAUUUUAUUUACUCAAAUAACUUUUAAAUAAUUAAAUUAAUUAUUUUAGUCAAGUAAAAGUGGAUGCAAAAGUAUUUAAAAGAGUUUAGGCAAUAGAAUUUCUAUGAGAGUUAUUUUAAAUCAAAAAAAUUAUAUAAAAUUAGUGAAUCUAUUAGAAAAAGGCUAUUCGUGAGAUAAAAUGAUUCGUAUGAUGGAGAUUGAGCCGUCCAAAACAUUAGUAAACCAUAGCCCUUGAAAAUCUGACUUUAAUAAUUAUAUUCGAUUUAGUCAAUAAUGAAAGUGAUGUAAAUCCAGAGUAUAUGGUUCUCAAUGGUUGUGUAAGCUUAGAUCCUGAGAAAGGUAUCGUCCCUUUCUUAUUAUUAUUUUUCUCUUCGUUUGCUAGCGGUACCUAAUAGCCUCUUUGCAAGGUGACUGGACCUGCUAUCAUUCCUAAUGUCACGUCAUUUGGGCUGAACUCGUGGUUGGUAUACCUGGACUUGUGAGUGACCCGGUUUACUCUAUGAGGCUAUGUCUGAGCCGAAAGAGUCGGACCGACCCGACAAGAAACUUUUUAAGUCUUGGGCUGGAACAACCUUUGCAGACUUGAUCUCCGACUUGGAUGCAUAAAAUCCGGCGAUCAUCAGAAAAUAACGUAUAAUUAAAAUUAAUUUUUAUUAUUAUCAUCGUAUAUUAAAUUAUAGGUAUUUUCUAUUUAAAUUAAUAAUUUAUUUAUUAAUUGUCCGAUCUAUUUAGUGUAUUAAACGAAUAAAAUAUAUUAUUUAUUAUUAAUUCCACUUUAAAAUUGGGGUAACGUGCUUCUUACAAUAUAUUUAGGUAUUUCUUUUCCUUAAUUAGCUGCUUUGGAGUGAAAUAGAUGUAAUUUAAAUUUAAAAUUAGAACUCUUUUAAACAUUUGAUAUUUCAGUGAAUUUUUAAGUGUUAAAAAUUGAAUUUCACAUUAAUUUAAAAUAAGAUAAUUAAAUCUGUCUCUAAUUUAUUAGUUAUAUAUAUAGAUAACUAAUUUAUAAUAAGAAAAUUUUAAAAAAUAUAAACUAAAAUACAGAAAAAUAUUUCAAAUAUAAUGUUAUAUUAUAUUAUAAAAAACACUUUAAUAUUUACAUUUUAUUAUAAAUAUCAUUAUAUAUAUUUUAUAAUUUAAUUUUAUACUAAAAUAUUAAAAUUAUAAUAUUAUAAUAUUACAUAUGAAAAUUUUAAAUAUAUAAUUAAUCCAAUUAAUCUCUAAAUUAUUAUUUAUGCAUAUAUAUAAAUUAAUUUGUAAUAAUAACAUUCAGAAAAAUAUAAAUUAAAAUAAAAAAAUAAAAAUAUAAAAUUACAAUUAACAGAUUGAUUGUUUUCUUUAUUUUGUGUAGCGAUAACUUAUUUGUAUUUUAUAUAUAAAAAUAUUAUAAAAAUAAAAAAUAAUAUAUAUAAAAAUAAUAAUAAAAUUAUAUAAUCUUCAAAUAAAAUUGAUAUUAGAAAUUAUAAAGAUUACUGUUGAUAAAUUUUAUUAUAUUCUAUAAUUAAUUUUAAAUUAAAAUUUUAAAUAAUAAUAAAUUUAUUUAUUAUUUUUUAAUCAAUCAAAAUAAAAAAUAAUUUAUAAUAAAUCUAAAUAUAAAUAUUUUGAACAAUCUUAUUAUUUAUUACUCUUUCACUAUAUAUAUAUAUAUAUAUAUAGUAUGAAUUAUAUGUAAAUUAAAAAUUAAUAAAAAAAUUAUAUAAAUUUAUUAUAGAUAAUAGUUCAAUUAAAUUACUAUUUGAUUAAAUAAUUUUUAUUUUUUUAAAGGUAAUAUAUUAAAAAAAUUAUUUUUUAUAUUAAAAUAUGUUACUUUUACUAGUAUUAUUAUAAAUAUUUUAAUAUUUUUAUUUAAAAGAAAAUUUUUUUUCUAUAAGAUAAUUUUUAGAAAUACAAUAAAAAUUUCAAAUAUUAUUUUAAAUUUAUCAUAAAAAUAAAAAAAUGUCAUUAAUAAAAUUAAAAAAAUACUUAAAUAAAUUUAGAAUAUUUCGUCCUUCACACAUUGAUAUUUAUAAUAGAUAGAAUAAUGGAUAAUAGAUUAUAGAUAUUUCUUUAAAAAAAAUAGUAGAUAAGCGUUUUGGAGAUUCCAAAUAAGAUUCACACGUGUCUGCUAAAACGACAGCGUGGUCCUCACUAGCUAUAAGCGUGAGAGGAAGAGAAGAAACUCACGACAGGACAAAAAAGUAAAAUUAAUUUUUUUAAAAAAGAAAAAAAGAGAAAAAUAUCGAUUAUUUGAGAACCCUAACCCGAUCAAUCUUCUCAGUUUAACAUCAAUCUCCUCUUUCUCUCUCUAUUUUUCUUUGCAUUUGUUCUUGAGGUUUCAGUCUCUUUUCUCUCCCUUCUCUCUUUCUCUCGGUCUCUAAAAUAGGUUCCUCUCUGAUCAGGUAAUCUCCUUCUGUGUCCUGAUUUUGGUUGUCUUUGUUCCUAUUUGAUUUCGCAUUUUGGUCAACGCGUUUUUGUUGCUUCUGGAAUUUCUUUAUUUUUUCUCUAAUUUUUUAUUUUUAAUUAGUUUUUUGGGGUUGUUUGUAAUCGAAUAUAAUCAGAUGAUCAGAGUUUCUUCCCUGAAAAAGGAGCUUCAAGAAAAAUUUAUUUUCUGUUAUUUUGGUUAAUUACUUCAAAUCUUUUGGUUCUUUUAGAUUAUUGGAUUCUGUUUGGUUCUGGAUUUAAAUUCUGAUUUCUAGGUUUCGAGACCGAGGAAGAUCUUUGAUGGAUUUUCUUUUUUAGUUGUAUUGUGUCGUAGAUGAUUGGUUUUGUUUUGAUUCACUGCCAGCUUUGUUUUUCGGCCGUUAAUUUUUGGUGUUUUUAGAUCCAUAUUGGACUUGUUCCUUGUCUCUCCAGUCCCAUCGCUUGAUGGUUUAGAAUUAGAUUGAGAAAUUGUUACUGGAUACUGUAAAUAUCUGAUAGUAAACUGAAACUUUCCCUUUCUUUGUAUGCUUGUAUUUUGCUUGUUUAACUUGCAAUUUUCAUCUUGACUGGACUGAGAAGACAACAGAUCUAUUUCCUUUCCUUCCUUCGGUUGCCUGCAGGUCGAUCGUUACUGAAAGACUGUCAGAAAUUGCCUAACUGAGCUCAGUUUUAAACCUGGUUUUGAAUUAGCAUUAUCCAGGUGGGGUUGAGAAGCCACUUCAGAUAUAUUUUAGAGGAAUAUAUUUUGAUUCAUUUGUCUGGUAAGACUUCAAGAAGUGUAUACAGUGGCAGAAUCUGAAGGAAUGCCUGUAUCAGGAAACGAGGAGGUGUUUAUUUUCUUUCCGAGUUACCCAUAAGAUUAGAAAAAUAUUCAAAUUGUUUGCUUUCUGCAAUGUGCACAUUGACUGAUUGAUCUUCUAUUGGCAGACUGCUGUUAAAUCUCUUGUUGGGCAGUCUAGUCUUAAUAUUGCAGGUGUUCCUGUGAAGAAAAGGAGGUUCAUUUGGCCUCUUUCACCUACCCCUGAAGAGCAAUCUUCACUACCUGUAGAAAAUGAUUCUUUAGAGAAAGUACGCAUCAGCCCAUCUCGGGAUUCUGAACUUGUAGAUGCUAGUAUCCCAGGGAAUUCUUCAGUCUCAUCUGAUUUGAACAAGAAUUUUGUACCCGAGGAAAAUAAGAAACCUU